rnacentral:rRNA from 1 species
GUGGGGAAUAUUGGACAAUGGGCGAAAGCCUGAUCCAGCCAUGCCGCGUGUGUGAAGAAGGUCUUCGGAUUGUAAAGCACUUUAAGUUGGGAGGAAGGGCAGUAAGUUAAUACCUUGCUGUUUUGACGUUACCGACAGAAUAAGCACCGGCUAACUUCGUGCCAGCAGCCGCGGUAAUACGAAGGGUGCAAGCGUUAAUCGGAAUUACUGGGCGUAAAGCGCGCGUAGGUGGUUUUGUAAGUUGGAGGUGAAAUCCCCGGGCUCAACCUGGGAACUGCCUCCAAAACUGCAUGACUAGAGUACGGUAGAGGGUAGUGGAAUUUCCUGUGUAGCGGUGAAAUGCGUAGAUAUAGGAAGGAACACCAGUGGCGAAGGCGACUACCUGGACUGAUACUGACACUGAGGUGCGAAAGUGUGGGGAGCAAACAGGAUUAGAAACCCUGGUAGUCC